rnacentral:rRNA from 4 species
UAGGGAAUCUUCGGCAAUGGACGAAAGUCUGACCGAGCAACGCCGCGUGAGUGAAGAAGGUUUUCGGAUCGUAAAACUCUGUUGUUAGAGAAGAACAAGGACGUUAGUAACUGAACGUCCCCUGACGGUAUCUAACCAGAAAGCCACGGCUAACUACGUGCCAGCAGCCGCGGUAAUACGUAGGUGGCAAGCGUUGUCCGGAUUUAUUGGGCGUAAAGCGAGCGCAGGCGGUUUCUUAAGUCUGAUGUGAAAGCCCCCGGCUCAACCGGGGAGGGUCAUUGGAAACUGGGAGACUUGAGUGCAGAAGAGGAGAGUGGAAUUCCAUGUGUAGCGGUGAAAUGCGUAGAUAUAUGGAGGAACACCAGUGGCGAAGGCGGCUCUCUGGUCUGUAACUGACGCUGAGGCUCGAAAGCGUGGGGAGCAAACA